rnacentral:rRNA from 1 species
AGGACGUGCUAAUCUGCGAUAAGCGUCGGUAAGGUGAUAUGAACCGUUAUAACCGGCGAUUUCCGAAUGGGGAAACCCAGUGUGUUUCGACACACUAUCAUUAACUGAAUCCAUAGGUUAAUGAGGCGAACCGGGGGAACUGAAACAUCUAAGUACCCCGAGGAAAAGAAAUCAACCGAGAUUCCCCCAGUAGCGGCGAGCGAACGGGGAGCAGCCCAGAGCCUGAAUCAGUGUGUGUGUUAGUGGAAGCGUCUGGAAAGGCGCGCGAUACAGGGUGACAGCCCCGUACACAAAAAUGCACAUGCUGUGAGCUCGAUGAGUAGGGCGGGACACGUGGUAUCCUGUCUGAAUAUGGGGGGACCAUCCUCCAAGGCUAAAUACUCCUGACUGACCGAUAGUGAACCAGUACCGUGAGGGAAAGGCGAAAAGAACCCCGGCGAGGGGAGUGAAAAAGAACCUGAAACCGUGUACGUACAAGCAGUGGGAGCACGCUUAGGCGUGUGACUGCGUACCUUUUGUAUAAUGGGUCAGCGACUUAUAUUCUGUAGCAAGGUUAACCGAAUAGGGGAGCCGAAGGGAAACCGAGUCUUAACUGGGCGUUAAGUUGCAGGGUAUAGACCCGAAACCCGGUGAUCUAGCCAUGGGCAGGUUGAAGGUUGGGUAACACUAACUGGAGGACCGAACCGACUAAUGUUGAAAAAUUAGCGGAUGACUUGUGGCUGGGGGUGAAAGGCCAAUCAAACCGGGAGAUAGCUGGUUCUCCCCGAAAGCUAUUUAGGUAGCGCCUCGUGAAUUCAUCUCCGGGGGUAGAGCACUGUUUCGGCAAGGGGGUCAUCCCGACUUACCAACCCGAUGCAAACUGCGAAUACCGGAGAAUGUUAUCACGGGAGACACACGGCGGGUGCUAACGUCCGUCGUGAAGAGGGAAACAACCCAGACCGCCAGCUAAGGUCCCAAAGUCAUGGUUAAGUGGGAAACGAUGUGGGAAGGCCCAGACAGCCAGGAUGUUGGCUUAGAAGCAGCCAUCAUUUAAAGAAAGCGUAAUAGCUCACUGGUCGAGUCGGCCUGCGCGGAAGAUGUAACGGGGCUAAACCAUGCACCGAAGCUGCGGCAGCGACGCUGAUGCGUUGUUGGGUAGGGGAGCGUUCUGUAAGCCUGCGAAGGUGUGCUGUGAGGCAUGCUGGAGGUAUCAGAAGUGCGAAUGCUGACAUAAGUAACGAUAAAGCGGGUGAAAAGCCCGCUCGCCGGAAGACCAAGGGUUCCUGUCCAACGUUAAUCGGGGCAGGGUGAGUCGACCCCUAAGGCGAGGCCGAAAGGCGUAGUCGAUGGGAAACAGGUUAAUAUUCCUGUACUUGGUGUUACUGCGAAGGGGGGACGGAGAAGGCUAUGUUGGCCGGGCGACGGUUGUCCCGGUUUAAGCGUGUAGGCUGGUUUUCCAGGCAAAUCCGGAAAAUCAAGGCUGAGGCGUGAUGACGAGGCACUACGGUGCUGAAGCAACAAAUGCCCUGCUUCCAGGAAAAGCCUCUAAGCAUCAGGUAACAUCAAAUCGUACCCCAAACCGACACAGGUGGUCAGGUAGAGAAUACCAAGGCGCUUGAGAGAACUCGGGUGAAGGAACUAGGCAAAAUGGUGCCGUAACUUCGGGAGAA